GGGGUGUCAAAAAUGAGAGAGUGUGUAUUUCAUUGUAAUAUGUCGAUUUGUUCAGAACUGGUGAAACGUUCAGAACGCUGCAGAUAAAUACAGUUUCAAGACACAAUGAUUGUGUAUUCUCCAUGACAUAGAAGAAUGUAUUUUCUGCGUGAUAUAUUUCUAUCUGAGCGUUCUGUAAUGUUGCCCCAAGUAACCACACUAUCACCUCUGUACAUUAAACUAGACAGAAACUGUUUGUCUUGGGAGUAGUGUAGAUUCAAUUAGAGAGAAACUAUUUAUCUUGGGAGUAGUGUAGAUUCAUCUAGAGAGAAACUCUUUAAAACGACUGGGAUCUUUUUCAGUCUCUAGCUCUAACCAGGUUUCUGUGAUUAGUCAAAACCACAAUUCUUAUUGGUGCACACCUUUUCUACCCAUUUCUCAAUAGUUGGUAUUCAGAUUUACCCUAUGCAGGUGUAGUAUUCAUUCAAUAGGGUUUUCAGUACAUUUAUCUAAAGCCAUCCCUUUAAAUUCGGUGUACCUUUAAUUCUAUUUUUUUUAUUUGUCCACAGACUACAUGGAGAGAACAGUUCAGAAUAUUAGGGACCAAUCAAAGAAAGCCAUCUGUAAUGAACAAAAAAAAUAAAAGCAACAUGUUAAGUGUUAGUCUUAGUUUCAUGAGCUGAAAUAAAAGAUCCCAGAAAUGUUUCAUGCGCACAAAAAGCUAAUUUCUCUAUAAUUACGUGCACAAAUUAAUUUAUUUUGAGCAUUUCUCCUUUGCCAACAUAAUCCAUCCACCUGACAGGUGUAGGAUAUCCAGAAGCUGAUUAAACAGCAUGAUCAUUACACAGGUGCACCUUGUGCUGGGGGACAAUAAAAGGCCACUCUAAAAGGUGCAGUUUUGUCGCACAACACAAUGCCACAGAUGUCUCAAGUUUUGAGGGAGCGUGCAAUUGGCAUGCUGACUGCAGGAAUGUCCACCAGAGCUGUUGCCAGAUAAUUGAACAUUCAUUUCCGUACCAUAAGCCAUCUCCAAAAUCAUUUUAGAGAAUUUGGCAGUACAUCCAACCGGCCUCACAACCUCAGACCACGUGUAACCACGCCAGCCCAGGACCUCCACAUCCGGCUUCUUCACCUGUUGGGGGUCGUCUGAGACCAGCCACCUGGACAGCUGAUGAAACUGUCGGUUUGUACAACCGAAGAAUUUCUGCACAAACUGUCAGAAUCCGUCUCAGGGAAGCUCAUCUGCGUGCUCGUCGUUCUCACCAGGGUCUGACUGCAGUUUGGCAUCGUAACCGACAGUGGGCAAAUGCUCACCUUCGAUGGCCACCGACAUGCAGGAGAAGUGUGCUCUUCAUGGGUGAAUGCCGGUUUUAACUGUACCGUCUACGGACAACGAAUACAAUUGCAUUUUUAUCGAAGGCAAUUUGAAUGCACAGAAAUCCCAUGACGAAAUUCUGAGGCCCUUUGUCGUGCCAUUCAUCCUCCUCCAUCACCUCAUGUUUCAGCAUGAUAAUGCACGGCCCCAUGUCGCAAGGAUCUGAACACAAUUCCUGGAAGCUGAAAAUAUCCCAGUUCUUCCAUGACCUGCAUAUUCAACAGAAAUGUCACCCAUUGAGCAUGUUUGGGAUGCUCUGUAUCGACGUGUACGGCAGCGUGUUCCAGUUGCCGCCAAAAUAUCCAGCAACUUCACACAGCCAUUGAAGAGGAGUGGGACAACAUUCCAACAGGCCACAAUCUACAGCCUGAUCAACUCUAUGUGAAGGAGAUGUGUCACGCUGCAUGAGGCAAAUGGUGGUCACACCAGAUACUGACUGGUUUUCUGAUCCACACCCUUAAUUAUUUUUAAGGUACAGUAUCUGUGAUCAACAGAUGCAUCAGUCAUGUGAAAUCCAUAGAUUAGGGCCUAAUGAAUUUGUUUUAAUUGACUGAGUUCCUCAUAUGAACUGUAACUCAGUAAAAAAAUUGAAAUUGUUGCAUGUUAUAUUUUUGUUCAGUGUAAAUACACUCAUAUUGGCGCCUUUUCGGCACCAAUUGGUAGAUAAAAAAGUAUUAGUAUUUAAAAAAGCACCAAGGAGAAAUAAAUUCGCCAUUUCCUGUUUGCAAAAAGUGUAAUAGCUCGCAUAAUUUCAGUUUGUGACAAAACAAGAAAGUUUAGUGUAGAGAAUCAUUGUACCAUCUAAACCGCUGUGAGAUAUAUUUUCCAUAACCAAAAAAUAUUGCAUAUUCAGCUGUUUGAAGCUGAUGUAGAAAAACCGAAAGUUAAAUAUGCACAAAUGAACGUUAAGACCGGGAGGAAUAGAAAUAGAGCACAUAGAACAGAUCUACCACUAUUUAGACUUGCUUUCAAUGAGAAUGACAGGUUACCCAAAAAGGUACAUAUUGCAGCUUUAAUGUUAGGAAAGUAUUCAUUAAUAAUAAAAAAAAACGGGUUAGAGACCCUUUAUGCACGAAAAAAAAACGGUGGUUUGAUUCAUUCGGGAAAAAUUGACACAUUCAGUUCUUCAACCCAUGGUAAUGUUGGAAUAUGUGUGUGCGUAUAACUAUAAUAGGGGAAUUAGUGUACAAUAGUAGGCUAUACACUCUUCUAUUGCCUGCAUUAACCAUGGAACUGUGUAAAUGACACAAUCAAGUGUUGCGCCAUGCUUCCGGUUCAAACUGUUACGGCUUGGUCUGCGUUCCGCUCCAUAGCGAUGUAAUUAACCAAUGUGAUCAACCACACUUCCGUGAUGGCGUUUUACCGACGAAGCAAAUUAAGGUAUUUAAUUAAAAUAUUGGAGAUUGCCCAAAGGUCAAAUUUCACAUGCUCACAUGAAAGUUUCAAGUUAAAAAUUACAAUUUAAAUUCUACAUAAUGGCACAAUAUUUCAUAAAAAUCACAUCACUGUGGGAAAGUUGAUCUGUUUCAGUUUGCUGCCAUUUUGACUGGUUUCACAUUUGUCUCCAGCGAUUUCUAAGGUAAAAACAGAUCUAAAACUAUUGCAAUUUAUAUUUACAAUCCCCUUAUUCCAACGGAUUAUUCAUUUACCAAAUUCUUAUCAAUAGCUCUUAUAAAUAUGUAAAUUAGGCCCUACAGUGCAUGAAGAAUUGUGUUAUUUCAAUCGGGGGUAAAAAAAUAAAUAAAAAAUAAGAUGUUUGUCACACUUGGAACCGACAGGUUGCUUGAUUUUAUUCAUCGUUUCAUCACGCGUAAAGGUGGUGGAAUUACGAGGGAAUUAAAUCAAGGUCAGAAUACGACGUAUCUGUAGACAUACCUCUGCCGCGCCUCAAUUUAUGCGAUCUCUACCACAAACGAAUAGCUUGGCUGAAACAUCAUCAAAUCAAAUGUAUUUAUAUAGCCCUUCUUACAUCAGCUGAUAUCUCAAAGUGCUGUACAGAAACCCAGCCUAAAAACCCCCCAAACAGCAAGCAAUGCAGGUGUAGAAGCACGGUAGCUAGGAAAACCUCCCCUAGAAAGGCCAAAACCUAGGAAGAAACCUAGAGAGGAACCAGGCUAUGAGGGGUGGCUAGGAAAAACUCCCCUAGAAAGGCCAGAACCUUAGGAAGAAACCUAGAGAGGAACCAGGCUAUGAGGGGUGGCUAGGAAAAACUCCCCUAGAAAGGCC
rnacentral:lncRNA from 1 species